AUUGAACGCUGGCGGCAUGCCUUACACAUGCAAGUCGAACGGCAGCACGGGUGCUUGCACCUGGUGGCGAGUGGCGAACGGGUGAGUAAUACAUCGGAACAUGUCCUGUAGCGGGGGAUAGCCCGGCGAAAGCCGGAUUAAUACCGCAUACGAUCUACGGAUGAAAGCGGGGGACCUUCGGGCCUCGCGCUAUAGGGUUGGCCGAUGGCUGAUUAGCUAGUUGGUGGGGUAAAGGCCUACCAAGGCGACGAUCAGUAGCUGGUCUGAGAGGACGACCAGCCACACUGAGACUGAGACACGGCCCAGACUCCUACGGGAGGCAGCAGUGGGGAAUUUUGGACAAUGGGCGAAAGCCUGAUCCAGCAAUGCCGCGUGUGUGGAGAAGGCCUUCGGGUUGUAAAGCACUUUUGUCCGGAAAGAAAUCCUUGGCCCUAAUACGGUCGGGGGAUGACGGUACCGGAAGAAUAAGCACCGGCUAACUACGUG
rnacentral:rRNA from 1 species